rnacentral:rRNA from 1 species
AACGAACGCUGGCGGCAGGCCUAACACAUGCAAGUCGAGCGAGGACUUCGGUCCUAGCGGCGGACGGGUGAGUAACGCGUGGGAACGUGCCCUUUGCUUCGGAAUAGCCCUGGGAAACUGGGAGUAAUACCGGGUGAGCCCUUUGGGGGAAAGAUUUACCGGCGUAGGUUCGGCCCGCGUUGGUUUAGGUGGUUGGUGGGGUAAUGGCCUAUCAAGGCGACGAUAGAUAGCUGGUUUCAGAGGAUGAGCGGCCACACUGGGACUGAGACACGGCCCGGAGUCCUAGGGGAGGCAGCAGUGGGGAAUCUUACACAAUGGGGGAGACCCUGAUCUACCCAUGCCGCGUGAGCGAUGAAGGCCUUAGGGUUGUAAAGCUCUUUCAGCUGGGAAGAUAAUGACGGUACCAGCAGAAGAAGCCCCGGCUAACUCCGUG